rnacentral:rRNA from 1 species
UACGAAGGGUGCAAACGUUGCUCGGAAUUAUUGGGCGUAAAGCGCACGUAGGCGGCUUAGCAAGUCGGAAGUGAAAUCCCUCGGCUCAACCAAGGAAGUGCUUUCGAAACUGCUGAGCUUGAGUACUUAAGAGGAUCGCGGAAUUCCCGGUGUAGAGGUGAAAUUCGUAGAUAUCGGGAGGAACACCAGUGGCGAAGGCGGCACUCUGGGACGGUACUGACGCUGAGACGCGAAAGCGUGGGGAGCGAACAGG